ensembl:lincRNA
CCCGUCUCUGCACCAAAAGUAGGGGUGGACCCUGUGGGAAACAGGCAGGGGACAGAUGGAGGAGCGAGAGGGCGGGAGUCCCAACAUGCACAGAUGAGCAAAUACCCAGAUUGAAACGUAAGCUGAAUGUAAUUACUUGGUUAAUUAAAUAUUGACUUUUAACUCAAAAAGUGAUUAAAACAAGCUGCAGGAAGACUGUCCAGAAAGGGGGGCAGGGAAUGAAUCAAAGCUUUCAAGGAGGGGAGGAGGAGGGGUCGUCACAGGCAGGUCUGGCUUGCUCUUCCUACUGUGUGCUGGGCCUACAGCAUGCAGGUGGGGAGCUGCGGACCGAGGCCAGUGUGCAAACUAAGAUUGCAGGAUUCCCCUUCCAUCUUCCACCCCAAGACGGCAUCUCUCUACCCUGCUGCCCUCCAAGUGAACCGGCAGCUUCUGGCGCGCAGGAGCCAGAUCCUGUUCAGCCGCGUUUCCCUGGAACAGAACGCGGUGCCUGGCACGAGGGGGUGCUCCAGAAAUGCUUGUAGAACGAAUGAACGAACUACUAUAAGGAAUGUUUGUUUGGAAAAGUGCACUCCUAGAAUUCACCGCUAGACUUCUGAAACCCCGAGGAGUCGAAGAGGGGAGCAUCUCUCCGCCAGACGAUGGAAACUGGUUCUACCCUGGCCUGGGAGGAAGUCUGCCUUUUCGAUCCUGUUUGUCCUUUCGAUGUCUGCGAGUUUCCAAUCACUCUGAAGAUCCGGCCCACUGCUUCCCCGAGUCCUGCCCGGACAAGCCCCACGUGGGCUGGCUUCUAGCCGGUCCCUUGGGUCUAAACCCCAAGGGUCAACAAGGCCAUGCCCCUGCGGAUGGUGGGGCCCAGGCGCGCUUCCCCCGGGGCCGCCUGGGCUCAGUGUGGCGCGUCCGCCGGUCAGGGGCGCGGCGGGAAGUCCUCGCCCGCCCAGCCAGCCAGCGGGGUCAAACAGGUCAUCCCCCUGCGGCCGGCCGGCGCCGGAGCCUCCCUCCUGCCUGCAGGGUUCCACCUCCGCAAGCAGCACUGGGGCCGGAGCCGGGCGGUCGGGACCGGCCCGGGCUCACCUGGGCGGCGCUCGCGGCCGGGCUUCACGCGGAGGCUGCCGGCGCCGGAGCCCCGCCCGAUCCCUGCGUCCCCUGCCACCCACCUGCCCCCCACGCCCCACUCACCAGCGCGCCGUCCGGCGGCCUCACCGCGCGGGCGCCACCGCUCUGCCGCAGCCCGGCCGGCCGCGGGGCGGCAGGGACUCCGCGCUGCCGCCGCUGCUGACUGCUGCUGCCGUCCGCCGCCGCCGCAUCCCCCGGCGAGCGAGGCUGCUGCUCCCCUCCUGCCUCCUCCCGCCCCCCAAGCCCGCCGCGGCUGCCGCGGCGCCCCGGCCCCCGCCCCGCGCCCGCCCAAGCCAAAGUCCCGCUCCGCGCCCCGCCCGGACCGCUCUUAAAUCGCCCCAGCCGGCCGGCGCGGCUGCCCCAGCCCAGCCCUUGCACGGGCUGCGCCCCUGCCCGCCGGCCUUCCGGCGCAGAGGAGGCGGGCGCGCUUCGGGCGGGGAGCGUCGGCUGGAGCGCGGACGGCGGGGGCCGGGCGCUGGGGGCCCAGCCCCAGCCCGGGUGCCCUCCUGCAGCCCUCCGCGCGCGAGCGCUUUUACCUCCGGCUCGGGGGACGCGCGGCCGGCGACCCGGCUCUGCCUGUUCCCGGCGCACGGCCCCGAAGUCCAGCUCCGGACGGGGCAGUGGACGCAGAGCUGGGGUCCCGGCGGCUCUCGGCCUCCAGAUGCCUCCGGACCCGGCUGGCCGCGCUCCCGGCGCCGAGCGCGCACCCUCGCCGGGAAACACAGACGCACACUCACCCGACACACUCUCGCUCCCGCUUGCCCUCGGCGGAGAGUUGAAACAGAUGUGGGAUUCGCCCAGGAGCUGGAAGCGAGGGAGGGAAGCGAGCCAGAGCCGUGUAACUCGCCCCGGUCUGCAAACACUCGACUGCCUUUGCUGAAAGCCUCGCGCUCGCCUCCAACCACACACAUUUGCCAUUGGAGAGGCCGGCGCCGGCCGCGACCCCGCAGCUCAAUCGCAGGGCAAACCGAGCUGCCCGUGCGCGCCCCAGAGCUCCCCGAGAAACUAACUUGGGCUCAAGUGAAAAUAGCAGCUGUUGCCCAGAAAUGGCCCGGGAGUAGCAAAGAAAAGAGAAACCGGCUUCUUCCGAAAGGGGAGGAAUUCGACUCAAGGGGGUGCUGUCUACCGCGGUUUCCGCUGUCCCUCGCGCCACAGAAGAGGCCGGAGGGGGACCGGCCUGACGCGGGUGGGCAAAGAGCGAGCAGAGAACCCACCAGCAGCUGCAGAAAACACAGCCGAGUUGCUUGCUAAGGGGAAACAGACGCCGCUGUAGGAAAGCACUUAUUCCUUGGCAGCCCUUUUGUGCAGAACGCCCGUCUGGUUCUAUCUCCCUUGCAAGGCCAGAGUAGCUGUUUUAUUCCCUUGACUCAUAUGUAAC